rnacentral:lncRNA from 1 species
AUAAGAAUUACUUCUCUAUAAGUAUUUUGUAAUGAUCAAAAGUUUUAUAUACACCAAACUUAUUACCAGAAGCUCCAUCCUUUUUCCCAAAUGCCAAUCCAAUAAUGAGAACAAGGUUUUGAGAAAAAGGAAAAAGUGUUAUUGCGUUGCUAACAAAGGACAAAUACAGGGACUUCUGUCUCAGAGACUGUGAUUUUGACUCUCAGGGGAAACCAGAGGACUUUUAGAGGUGAUUUAAAGGCUACAUUUCAGCUGUGACUUGUCAGAGAUCAUGAUUCAUUUGUAGACUUUCAAGAUAGCCAUAUCUUCAGUUUUCUGGCACCUUCCUGAAGUCUGAAUUACUUUAUUCCUGUGGUGUGUGUGUGUGUGUGUGUGUGUGUGUGUGUGUUUAAGAACAGAUAACUUGGCCUAGAACAGGAAAAAGGUUAAGCUUGCUUUCCACCAGGGUUAGUGAGGGAGCAAGGGAAGAAAAGAAGUGGGGGAAAAUGUCAGUUUUAAAAUAAGCUGCAGUGGCAAAGCAGCAAGGGUUAUGUUCAAAGCAUGAAAUGGACCCUCAUUACACUUUGCUUCCAAAAUAAAACAAGUUAUUCUGUCAGAACUUUUUCGACCCUCGCUUCCCCACUUUGAGAUUUCUACAAGUAUACUAAGUGAUAGAUUUUGUUGUAGCAGACAAAUAUG